UACAUUUUAGUAUAAUUGUAUAUAAAAUUUUGAAUUUUAUGGAAAUAAUUAAAAUUAUUAAAUGUAA
rnacentral:tRNA from 1 species